rnacentral:rRNA from 1 species
GACGAACGCUGGCGGCGUGCUUAACACAUGCAAGUCGAACGGUAAGGCCCUUCGGGGUACACGAGUGGCGAACGGGUGAGUAACACGUGGGUGAUCUGCCCUGCACUUCGGGAUAAGCCUGGGAAACUGGGUCUAAUACCGGAUAGGACCACUGCCUGCAUGGGUGGUGGUGGAAAGCUUUUGCGGUGUGGGAUGGGCCCGCGGCCUAUCAGGUUGGUGGUGGGGGGAUGGCCUACCAAGGCGACGACGGGUAGCCGGCCUGAGGGGGUGACCGGCCACACUGGGACUGAGAUACGGCCCAGACUCCUACGGGAGGCAGCAGUGGGGAAUAUUGCACAAUGGGCGCAAGCCUGAUGCAGCGACGCCGCGUGAGGGAUGACGGCCUUCGGGUUGUAAACCUCUUUCAGCACCGACGAAGCGCAAGUGACGGUAGGUGCAGAAGAAGGACCGGCCAACUACGUGCCAGCCGCCGCGGUAA